rnacentral:rRNA from 1 species
CGCCAGUCUCCUACGGGAGGCAGCAGUGAGGAAUAUUGGUCAAUGGCCGUAAGGCUGAACCAGCCAAGUAGCGUGAGGGAAGACUGCCCUAUGGGUUGUAAACCUCUUUUAUGCGGGGAUAAAGGUGUCCACGUGUGGAUGUUUGCAGGUACCGCAUGAAUAAGGACCGGCUAAUUCCGUGCCAGCAGCCGCGGUAAUACGGAAGGUCCGGGCGUUAUCCGGAUUUAUUGGGUUUAAAGGGAGCGUAGAUGGGUUGUUAAGUCAGUUGUGAAAAGUUGCGGCUCAACCGUAAAAUUGCAAUUGAUACUGGCAGUCUUGAGUUCAGUUGAGGUAGGCGGAAUUCGUGGUGGAGCGGUGAAAUGCUUAGAUAUCACGAAGAACCCCGAUUGGGAAGGCAGCCUGCCGCAGCGUUACUGACGCUGAAGCUCGAAGGCGCGGGUAUCGAACAGGAUUAGAUACCCUUGUAC